AUGGGUUUCAUCGUUUUUCUAAUUUCUUCGCUAGCAGAAUGUGAAAGAUUACCUUUUGAUUUACCAGAAGCAGAAGAAGAAUUAGUAGCUGGUUAUCAAACAGAAUACUCAGUCCGAGCUGCAAGGUACAUUGGUCAAAGUUUCAUGAUUAUCUUAUCUCACGCAAAUCGUUUACCUGUAACUAUUCAAUAUCCUUAUGAAAAAUUAAUCACAUCAGAACGUUUCCGCGGUCGAAUCCAUUUUGAAUUUGAUAAAUGCAUUGCUUGUGAAGUAUGUGUUCGUGUAUGUCCUAUAGAUUUACCCGUUGUUGAUUGGAAAAUGGAAACGGAUAUUAGAAAGAAACGAUUGCUAAAUUACAGUAUUGAUUUCGGAAUCUGUAUUUUUUGUGGUAA